rnacentral:rRNA from 1 species
UACGUAGGGUGCAAGCGUUGUCCGGAAUUAUUGGGCGUAAAGAGCUCGUAGGCGGUCUGUCGCGUCGGCUGUGAAAACCCGGAGCUCAACUCCGGGCCUGCAGUCGAUACGGGCUGGCUGGAGGCAGGCAGGGGAGAACGGAAUCCCGGUGUAGCGGUGAAAUGCGCAGAUAUCGGGAGGAACACCGGUGGCGAAGGCGGUUCUCUGGGCCGUUACUGACGCUGAGGAGCGAAAGCAUGGGGAGCGAACAGG